AGCAUACUUAGCUAAAUUGGUAAAGCGCCUAACUUCGGAUUAGGAGAUUUAGGGGUUCGAUCCCUCUAGUGUGCUA
rnacentral:tRNA from 1 species